GAUGAACGCUGGCGGUGUGCUUAACACAUGCGAGUCGAACGGAAAGGCACUGAUUUUGUGGGGUGCUCGAGUGGCGAACGGGUGAGUAACACGUGUGUAACCUGCUCUUGACUUUGGGAUAACUUAAGGAAACUGGGGCUAAUCUAGGAUAGGAGCUGAUGCAGCAUGGUGGGGGUUGGAAAGUUUCGGCGGUCGGGGUUGGAUGCGCGGCUUAUCAGUUUGUUGGUGGGGGAGUGGAUUACCAAGGCUUUGACUGGUAGUCGACCUGAGAGCGUGACCAGCCACAAGAGUACUGAGGUACGGCCCAGACUCCUACAUGAGACAACGGGGGGAAGUAUUGCACAGUGAUCGGGAGCCUGUUGCGGCAACGCCGCGUUCGUAAUGACGGCCUUCGGGUUAUAAACCGCUUUCGCCUAUGACGAAGCUUGAGUGACGGUAAUGAAUGAAGAAGCACCGGCUAACUACGUG
rnacentral:rRNA from 1 species